rnacentral:lncRNA from 1 species
CGGGCGGGUCUGCAGGGGGCAGUUUCCUAAACACUCUGAGGGCCUGGUGCUCCGGACACUGGCCAGAGGGAUGGCUUCUCCCUCUUCUGUCUGUCCUCCUGAUACUGCGCACUGGACGCCCAUCAGGGAUGUGAGAGGCAGCGAGGCAGACCUGUCCUGCGGGCUUCCGCAUGAUGACAGGGGCCCCAAGGACGACGAGGGCAGCGGGAUGGCAGGGGCCCCGCUCAGCGGUCGACGAGGGGCAGCGCCUUUCCAGAAGCGGCACCGGCCCGCUCGUCCCCAUGCGCUGCUCCGCGAGGCGACGACACCUCCGGGCGUGGGGCACACAUUCGGCCGUUACGUCUCCGUUGCCCUUUCUGUGCGCCGUGGGAAGCCCCCGCCUCCUGGGCCUCAUUUCCGAACAAAGAGGAGAAAGAAGGGCCGGCGCGCACAGCCGCCCCGCCGCGCCAGCCGCUCCGGAAAGAAACCCGCCUCCCGCGGGCGCCGGUGGAGACGCCGCGCCUCCGUGUCCAGCGAUCAUCGCUUUGGGGUCAGGGCCUUACAGGCAAGCAGCGUGCACCCCCUUAGCCUCAGGUUCCCCAAAUGCGUUUGAGCAGGGACACGCCUUCACCUCCGGGUGCCCGUGGGGACCCGUUUUCCAGGCGACACCUGGUGGCAAAGACUGGGUCGCGCACGGUCUGCAGGAGGCGGCGGGACGGGAGCCUGGUUCACAGAAUUUUGUGCAGAUCCGCGGAACUGAAGUGGCGAUCAGCGCGCGGCGGAGCGCAUCAGGCCUUGGGCGCUCGCUGCUGAGCCUGACGACCCCAUGCACACGCGCACCACCGUCCAAUUCCAGGAACAGACUUCCAGCCAACCCCGCCCCAGCGACGAGCAUCCUCGUUUCCUCCCCUGGGUGGGCUUUCCAGGUUCCCGCCGUGGGAGACGCGCGCUGCAUUCCAGCGCUCCGCGCCGCGCUGGUCCGUCGGCCCCGGCCAUCUCCGAGAGGCUGCGUGGACCGUCUUCAUCGCGGCCGACGGAAAUACAGCUGCCGUCUGCGAUCUCGGCGAGCGGGGCUCCGCACUGCGCAUGCUUCUUCUUCUUCAUCCGGCGCAGGGCGGGGGGCUCGCCUACUCCUGAGUCCCAGAGGACCUGUCCCCUAAAAGCCCUGAGCCGCGGGCGGGGGGGCAGGCACCCCCGCCGUUCUGCCUCGUCCUCCGCAAAGCUGGUGUGCCAGAGCCCCCCGGGGGACCCCGCGGGGAAGGCUUGUUGACAGUGCGGCUCCGGGCCUGGGAACCUGCAUUUCAGGCCUCCCACCCCUCCUUGCCCCAGACGCACCCUGUGUGACCCGCUUCUGGCUCCUGUGACUGCGAGCGUGUGGGCAGCAGAGAUCUGAACUGCCCCACCCCCGUGUGGGAGGGGCGGCGUCGCUCAGACACACUGCGGGGAGCCAGACCUCGUUCUCUGAGCCCGGGGCCUGACCUCAGUGCCCUCGCCGUGACAGGCAGACGCCCAACGUCUCUCCAUGGAGACGGACCCCUUGGUGUCCCCCUGAGACAGGCAGACACCCCAACAUCUCUCCAUGCAGAUCGACCCCUCGAUGUCCCCCUGAGACAGGCAGACACCCCAACGUCUCUCCAUGGCAGACGGACCCCUUGGUGUCCCCCUGAGACAGGAAGACACCCCAACUUCUCUCCAUGCAGACAGACCCUUUGGUGUCCCCCUGAGACAGGCAGGCACCCAACAUCUCUCAAAGACAGACAGACCCCUCAGUGUCCCCCUGAGACAGGCAGGCACCCCGGUGAACCCCUGCACAUAGAGUCCCGACACCCACUGCCACAGAUCGGCCCCCAUGGAGUCCUCUUUCAGGCACAAACGGAAGCUGGCUCCUGGCAAGAGGGACCCUCCCACAGGGGACGGGGUGGCGGCUCUGUGGGUCGUCGUGGUGAGAUGUGAGUGAGACAGGGCCUUGAAGUUUGGGGUGAGUGUGAAUCCUCGUACCCCCCACCCCACCAAGUGCCCUGCCAAGCCUGGGCCACUGGGUUUGCAGAAAUGUACGAGGCCCUUGGUUUUCUGCUUGUCCCUGGCCCUCAGCUCUGGGGAAUGCACAGCGGGGGGCUGGGCGAGGAUGGGUGGUCUCAGGAUGGGGGCCCCUAGGGGAGGGAGGGAACAGGGUUUCUUCCCUGUGAAUUCCAGGCUGGGAGCAGGCAGCACAUAACCAGCCACUUCCUGUGCCCCCCUUGGUGCAUCCCGACUGAGCCCAGCUUGUCCGUCCGUCUGUCCAGGCCAGCCCUGUGGCUGGGCACUGUGAACGGGGCUUUGGGGUCAUUGCUGGGCUUCUCUGCAAUCGAUGGGGAGUCUUUCGUGCUGAUUUACAUUUCAGACACAGCGCUUCCAUUGAUCCCCGGCCCCUCACGCAGCGCCCGAGUCGCGCCUGUCCCGUAUCCCAUUAGCUAAUUGUGUCUUGCGCCAUCCUCCAUCUGCUGGAAAUGUAAGCUGGCUGGGUUCUCCACCUUCCACAAGUGGCAGUGUCUUUUUGUCCCUUGUUCCUGUCCUCCUCUCUUCGACGACAAGAAAGCUCCCUCCCCAUUCCUGGAGACCCCCGCUCACUUUUUGCCCCCCUGCCCCUUCCAGGAAAGCAGGUCCCACUCCUUGCGCUGACUGUGAUAGAGCUCAGCUCUAACCCCCAAGACAAAGGACCGGAAUCCACCCGUGCCUGGGGAGUCCUGUGGGGGCCUGUGGGGUCUUUGGGCUUGUUAGGUGGUGGAGCAGCUUGGCUGGGAUCUCUGGGACAAGGAGGAAGCUUCCUGGUUUCAUGGGUCCUGGGCUGCAGAUUUGUCUUGUUGGCAUCAGGGCAGGAGGGCUGGUGGGGCCCCUGGAGCCCCGCUGGGCCCUCUGCUCAGGCUGGUCAGCCUUUCCGGUGGGGUGGGAUGCCCCUUGCAUCCCCCAGGGGCUGGUCCAGAGCCUGGAACGAGAGAUGAUGUCCUGGGACUCCACCCCGCAAAGGGGCCUGAUGUGAAAUGACCAAAAGUAAACACAUUGUCUCUGCCCCCGGUUCCUGCCUCAGAGCUCCUGAAAUCCCUGUGCUUUCCUGGGUGAUGGGAGUGUCUUUUGUCCUAGUGAGGUGAUCCUGGGUGGGCUCCUCGGUGGAGCCAUGAUCCAGAGAGGGGAGAGGGGCUGGAAAUGGAGGUAAGGGUUGAUCAUGUCGACGUGAGGAAGCGUCCAUAAAACCCCAAUAGCACGGGGUUCAGGGAGCUUCCAGGCUGGUGAGCACAUCCAAAUACCUGCAGGGUGACACCCCAUCUCCAAGGGGACAGAAGCUCCUAGCUCAAGACCCUCUUGGAUCUCACCCUGUGUGUCUCUGCAUCUGGCUGUUCUUCUGUAUCCUUUAUUCUAUAGUAAACCAGUAAACACAGAUGUUUCUCUGAGUUCUGGGAGCUGCUCUAGCAAAUUAAUUGAACCGAGGAAGGGGUCGUGGGAACCUCCGAUUUGUAGAGGGUCCUUCAGAAGCACAGGCGACAACCUAGGCUUGCAAUUGGCGUCUCAAGUGGGGAGCAGUUUUGUGGGGCUGAGCCCUUAACCUGCGGGAUCCGCUGCUAUCUACUCCACAGGCAGAUGGUGUCAGAACCGAAUUGAAUUGUAGGGCACCCGGUGGUGUCGGAGAAUUGCUUAGUGUGGGCGAAACCCCGACCUUUGGGGUGGGAAAUGUCACAGGCGCAGUGUUCUGUGCGCGGGUGAAGGAGGAGCACAGAGUGUCCCAGCCUGGGCUCCCUGAGGAUGCGAGACCGAGGGUCAGUUCCAGCCUCUCAGACUGGAUCAGAUUGGGCCGGACGCAGGGCCACACAUUAAGGCUUUUUGCACGACUCCAAAUGUCCCCUGGUGAGUCAGCACCUCGUGUGCUGGGAGCUCUGCCGUCGUCCUUGCUUCUUCCGGUAAAGUGGAUCUGUGAGCUGGAUCAGCAUCUCUGACGGCCUUUGUGGGCCAGGAGAACUGCAGCGUGACCCCACCGCUGCGUAGUAGGGGGCGGACUGCCUUCCUGCCAGAGCCUGGCUGGCUGUGUUUCCCUCUUAGAUGCAGAAAUGCGCGCACAGUCUGCUGCCCUCAUGUCUCUGCCAAGGCGACUUUCUCCCCGAGUGGAGCUCUGCCCAAAGGGACAGCACAGGGGGACAGGCACCGUCCUCCUGCUCGGCAGCCCCAGUGGGCGGGGGAAGCGGCUUUCCAGAAUCGGAGGCUUCAGGGGCAGGCUGGGUGCCCGAAAGCACAGGCCUGUUCAGAGGACACCCCACUGGCCCCUCCCGGGAGACCACAUGCCCGCCCGCCUGCCCUGCCUUCCUCCUGGGCUGUGGUCCUAAAUCUCCCCAGACAGGGUGGAGCUGCCCCGGGAGGGCUCCUUGGAGGGUCUCCUUGCAGACGCCCCUGCUCAUUAGCUGCCCCCAGACCUCCCCCAGCACCCCUUCCUCCCCUAAGGCUGGGGGAGCCCGGGCCCCCCACCCACUGGCUCUGCUCAGAGUCCCCAGCUCUGGGCCCGCCAGCUGUGCCCACCUCUCCCCUGGGACCAGCAAGUGAUUUGCACCUUUUUCAGGUGAGAAGGGGCAGCUGUGGCCUGUUCCCAGGGGAAUUUCUCAGAAUCAGAAGCCUUUCCCAAACUCAGUUCAAUAGGAAUUGAAGAAACUCAAUUCGACACGUGGCUUUGGGCUCCUGCCUAGUGUGGGAACCUGGGAGCUAGGGGUGAGGGUCCUGCCAGCAGACACCCUGGGACCCCCGGGGCCCAGGCUGCCAGGACACACGAGGGGCUGAUGGGGUGUGGGGCCCCCUGACCCCCAAGGGCCCUCCUACCUUCCUGGGCGCCCUCCGUAAAAACUGGGAAAUAUUCUUUGUAACAACCGUGCUGACGUGAAGACCAACGUAUUAAUACUAUAAAUGAAAAUAUUACUUCAAUCUCAAAGUUCUUUGUUUCUCUUACGAUUUUAAAAGUCAUUCAGACACUGAUGUGAGCCCGGGCUGGAUGCAGGAGCUCAGAGGGGACACAGGGCGUGUGAAGGGCAGGGGCGCCCGUGUGGAGGGGACGCAGCCGUGUGGUGGGGAGGGGCGGUGGGCCCAGGCGGUGGGAGUGGCACACGUGGGCUGGACCUUUGAAGUCCUGGGACCCGGGCACAGUCCCCACCCCCACCCAGACCGUGAAGAUGUGACCUGGGACUGUCUGGUCCACAGCAGAGGUGUCUGCACGGGGCUCUGGGCUCCUGCCCUUGUUCCUGGCCUCCUGGCUGCGGUGCUGGGAGGAACCUUGGGCGCGGCUGGUUGAGCUGCUGGGAAAUUUCUAGCACCCUCCUGCGAGCCUGCUAUGGCCCUGGGAGCUGGUGAUCUACACUCCAGAAACUUCCAGACAUGCCCACGGCCUCUCCGCCCACCCGUGGGGGAGUGAGGCCAGCAGGGCAGUGGGCUGGAGUUGGAGAGGCGGCCCCUGACCCCGUCCUCAGCCUCAGGAAAUGGGGUUUGGGGUUGUUAUGGGCUGAAAUGUGCCCCCAAAUUCACAUUCCUAACUCUCAGGACCCCAGAAUGUGUCUAUGUUUGGAGGUGAUUCAGGUAAACUGAGGUCACCAGGGUGGCCUAAUCCCGUUCACUGGGGUCCCUAUGAGAAGAGGGGAUGGGGACGCAGACACACGCACAGGUUCGACCAUGCGAGGACACAGGGAGAAGACGGUGUCUACACACCGAGGAGCGAGCCCUCAGAGGAACCAGCCCUGAGACAGCCGGAUCUCGGAUGUCCAGCCCCCAGACUGUGAGAGAACGAACGUCUGUUGUUCAAGCCGUCAGCCUGUGGCCGUUUGUUACUGCUGCCCGAGCCAAACGGGACAGGCGCCUCCUCUCAGAGAGGCUGGGGGCUCUCUGUGUGGGUGGCACCCGGGCAGGGCGAGCUCGUCCUCCUGCCCCGCUGGGCUCUCCUUCCUCGAAGCCGCUGCUCUGCCCCGUCGUGAAUUCAGCGUGGAGCUCUCCCAGCAUCUGUGAGGACAAAACUGCACGCGAGUCAUAUCCUGAUGGGGGGGUGAGGGACAAGGGACGAGGGCGCCGGGGCAGCAGUCCCUGCAAACGAGUGAGUGGGGUUCCGUCUGGCUGUGCCCUCGAGGCCCCAGUGACGGGUGGGGGCUCCGAAUCUGACCCUGGCCACCUUGUGAGUGUUUGUGGGGUCCAUGUCUGCAUUGUGUUAGCACCAGGGCUUGUCAUGACCGGAGGGGGCCCUGGUUCUGUAAUGAGUCUGUGGCUGGGGUGGACUCUCCCCCUCGCUCUGGCUCACAUUACUGGCCGGAAGGCCUGCUCCCGCCCCCUGCAUCUCAGCCUUGAGCUCUGAGCCCAAAGGUCCCAUCCUCAGGGUGUGUCCUCUUGAUUCCUGCUCUAAUCAGCGCCCCCCGGGGUGUGUGUGCAUGGCCCGGGUCCCUUCCCUCUGUUACACACAUCGCCACUGUCUUUUACUCAAUUCAGACAUUGUUACCUCCACCCCGGGCUGCAGCUCGUGGAGACCAGGGCUCGUGGGCAGGGGAGACCACUCCUCUGUGGGAGCCCCAGGAUGGGACUUGUGUCCUCGUGCCUCUGGCCUUCCUCCCCAGCUGGGCCACUUCGGACCCCGCGUCCCGGCUACCUGUGCAAACUCUCUGGGCCUCGGCGGCUUCAUCUUCAACAGGUGGCAAGCAAGCUGCUUCUGAGGCGGUUGGGAGCCGAGUCCCCGAGUGAGUGAGAAGCCCCCACACUGUCAGCUUCUGCGCCAGGAAGGGAGCGUUACGUGGAAAGAGGAGAGGAAAAGCACGAUGGGCGUGACGGCGCGUGGAGCCAGCAGUCCUGUUCUGGACCUUCGUGCCGACCCCUGGGAAGGCGAGCGCGCGGCUCUGACUCACCGUGAGAGCGGGAGUGACGCGGGCCGUCCACUUUACGACAAUUGGAUCUAAGAAUAUCCUGUCGCCCCCGCCACUGAGCCUGGGAAGAUGAAGAGACAAGGCUGUGAGAAUUCUCAGAGAUAAAAAGGCUUCUAAAAGGAAGUAGCAGGGAGUUCACACAAGCUUCUCCCCUGCAAGUGAUUAAUCCUGUCGCCGAUUUGACUUGACACAGUAAUUGGGAAACCAACUGGAUACCUUUGCAAGGAGAGUUAAGUAACCAGAUUUUUAAACUGAUUUUUCUUUUUUCCUUUUCUUCUUUUUUUAAAUUGGUAUAAAACUAAUAUGUGUGCAUGAUAAAAUUAAACACAAUAAAGGGAAUAAAAUUAGAGAUACAAGGUUCUCUCCAUCCCACCCCCACCAACCCCAGCUCUGUUCUCACUAUUGUAACCGUGUGUAAUCUUUCAGAAAUGUGCAUGCAAAGGGUGUGGGGGUGUGUGCUCACGUAUAAAUUUAAACAUCAAUGAGAUCACGCUGUAAUCGGCUCCAAAUCUUGACAUAUUGGAUAAACAACAUAUUGAAGAGAUCUUUCCAAAUAGAACCAGCUCAUUCCUUUAUAUCCUUCUAAUUUUUGGCUACUAUGGUUGUCUUGUUUUUGAAAAACAUGCAUAAAACUCCUACUGCGACUGUGGACUUGUGAUUCCACCAUUGCUUGCACACAAUCCACACCCACACAUGAACGCUCCUGCAUGCACACAUCACGCAAGCACACACGUGUGCAUCCCACAUGCACAUAUCACACACGUGUGCACACACAUUUGCACCCAGACAGACACGCUUCCCACCUGCAUCUCCACACACACCGACCCCUAAACACACACUGACACCUGUGCACACACCAUCCCACGCACACCCACACCCACGUACCCCAGACACAUUCACGCACGCUGACACUCCCUCGCACCAUCCCCCGCCCCCACACGCUGACAUACACACGCUGUAUUCCGCCGUAACAAAUGAUCACAAGCUUCGUGGCUCAAAACAGCAGAAAUUGAUUCUCUCGCAGUCUGGAGGCCAGACGCCCCAAAUCCAGGUGUGGGCAGGGCUGCGUUCCCUCUGAAGGCUCUAGAGGACCCUUCCUGCCUCUUCCAGCUCCUGGUGGCUGCCAGGAACCCUUUUUUGGUUGCCUCACUCCAGCCUCUGCCUCCCUGUGUGUCUGUGUCUCUGUGUCCAAAUUUCCCUCUUCUUCUUAUUUUUGGUGAGGAAGAUUGGCCCUGAGCUGACAUCUGUGCCCAUCUUCCUCUGUUCCAUAUGUGGG